rnacentral:rRNA from 1 species
GAUGAACGCUGGCGGCGUGCCUAAUACAUGCAAGUCGAGCGAACAGACGAGGAGCUUGCUCCUCUGACGUUAGCGGCGGACGGGUGAGUAACACGUGGAUAACCUACCUAUAAGACUGGGAUAACUUCGGGAAACCGGAGCUAAUACCGGAUAAUAUAUUGAACCGCAUGGUUCAAUAGUGAAAGACGGUUUUGCUGUCACUUAUAGAUGGAUCCGCGCCGCAUUAGCUAAUUGGUAAGGUAACGGCUUACCAAGGCAACGAUGCGUAGCCGACCUGAGAGAGUGAUCGGCCACACUGGAACUGAGACACGGUCCAGACUCCUACGGGAGGCAGCAGAAGGGAAUCUUCCGCAAUGGGCGAAAGCCUGACGGAGCAACGCCGCGUGAGUGAUGAAGGUCUUCGGAUCGUAAAACUCUGUUAUUAGGGAAGAACAAAUGUGUAAGUAACUAUGCACGUCUUGACGGUACCUAAUCAGAAAGCCACGGCUAACUACGUG